rnacentral:rRNA from 1 species
UACGAAGGUGGCAAGCGUUGUCCGGAAUUACUGGGCGUAAAGGGCCAGUAGGCGGCCAACUAAGUCGGAUGUGAAAUCCCCAGGCUUAACCUGGGAACUGCAUCCGAUACUGGAUGGCUUGAAUUCGGGAGAGGGAUGCAGAAUUCCAGGUGUAGCGGUGAAAUGCGUAGAUAUCUGAGGAGAUACCGGUGGCGAAGGCGGGCAUCCUGGG